rnacentral:miRNA from 1 species
GCUAUGGUCGCUGGCUCCCAA